AUUACCAACUGUCACACUGUGUGUACCUGGCUGGAGAUGAGGGUGGAGAUCACAUCAAGAGAAGCCUAGAAUUUGAAAGAAAGCAAGAUCUGACCCACAAGGUCCAUCCUGGCUGGACUGAGAGCUACGAGGCAGUGGAAAGAAUACUGCACUUGGGGUCAGACCAAGUGACCUAAUUUGAAGUCCCAGCUCUGGCUCGUGAUCUUGUGCAGACUCAUCUAACCCACACCUUCCCAUGCCACCCAGGCUGGGGUGAAGUGAGGAGCACAUGGGAUUAUGGCAGACUCAGCAGAUCCUUUCCUAGCCCAAAGCAGCUUUGAAGAGCCAUCGUGAGCCAAUGGGCGGAGCUAAUAGUCUCCUAUCCUCGACUUGCAGGGGGGGCACAAUGAAUCAGACAGAGACCUCACCCUUGCAGAGUUCGCAGUCCGGGAGGCAGGCAGACAAGACCACAGUUGCAAGGUG